rnacentral:rRNA from 1 species
UACGUAGGGCGCAAGCGUUGUCCGGAAUUAUUGGGCGUAAAGAGCUCGUAGGCGGCCUGUCGCGUCCGCUGUGAAAUCCCAGGGCUUAACCCUGGGCGUGCAGUGGAUACGGGCUGGCUGGAGGCAGGCAGGGGAGAACGGAAUUCCCGGUGUAGUGGUGGAAUGCGUAGAUAUCGGGAGGAACACCUGUGGCGAAAGCGGCGCACUGGACCAUAACUGACGCUGAUGCGCGAAAGCUAGGGGAGCAAACAGG